AUUGAACGCUGGCGGCAGGCCUAACACAUGCAAGUCGAACGAGUGGCGGACGUGUGAGUAAUGUCUGUGACAGUGCCUGAUGGAGGGGGAUAAGUACUGGAAACGGUAGCUAAUACCGCAUACCUUCAGAUGGGCCCGGAUGGGAUUAGCUUGUUGUUGGGGUAACGGCUCACCAAGGCGACGAUCCCUAGCUGGUCGGAGAGGAUGACCAGCCACACUGGAACUGAGACACGGUCCAGACUCCUACGGGAGGCAGCAGUGGGGAAUAUUGCACAAUGGGCGAAAGCCUGAUGCAGCCAUGCCGCGUGUGUGAAGAAGGCCUUCGGGUUGUAAAGCACUUUCAGCGGGGAGGCGUUACCCGCAGAAGAAGCACCGGCUAACUCCGUGCCAGCAGCCGCGGUAAUAC
rnacentral:rRNA from 1 species